GUAGAGGAAGAGUAGAAGCUCUUAGGGGUCUGAUCUAAGCUGGAGUUUUGCUUGCAUAUGGGAAGGUAGGAGAGAAGAAGAAAUAAGAACAUCGAAUUUUCUCCUCUCUUCUCCCCCAGAAUCCUCAGAGAUUAUUUUAUUACCAUUCUUUUUCAUUUGAUUCUUAUCUAUUUGGCAAAGAAACCACAAGGAAAGCCAUGAUGAGUCAAGGCCAAAACACUGGCUGAGGAUGAUUCACUCAGUCGGCAGCACUAAUGGUGGACCUCCGGUAUGCUAGACUGCUGAACUGCGGGAGAAACAUGAUACAGACAGGACCUCGACUAGGUCAGACAAGUGAGGCACUUGCCUCUGGUAAAAAACAGAAGGGGCACCAAGAGGCUUGGCAAACAAGCAGAGAAAUUUGGACAUAGCCACCCUUCUGUACGCAGUGAGAACACAGGCAAAGACGUCUAGAUGAAGGCAAAGACUGGGGUGAUGCUUCUAUAUGCCAAGGAGCACACCGAAGAUGGGCAGCAAAGCGCCAGCAGCUGGGAGGGGCCUGGAGCAGACUCUCCCUCAGCCCUCGGAAGGAACCAGCCUUGGACUUCCACUUCCCAAAUGGAGACAAAAUAUCGCUGAACCCAAGACGUUUGUCACUGAAUCCAAGACAUUUUUCACUGAGCCCAAGACAUUUCCAAUUCCACUGAGCUUGCUGUGUUUGUGAGUGAGCCUAGGGGUGGAGUGGGGCCUAAAAAGCAGAAAAGGCUGUCAAGAUUUAAUGAACCCCACCUAAGUCCCCAGUGGAUAUUUCUGGAUGUCCUGGGUUUUUGUUUUGUAAGGUCUGUCUCUGCCAAUUAGUAGCUUAAUAACCACUAUGAAUGACCAGGAUAUUCAGCCACCAAUAUCAUCUAAGUGGGGUGGGGAACCAGGAAGCAGAGAAGACUGACAUUGUGAACCCCUCUGAUAGAAAGUGGGUAUGAGGACAAAAUAAGUACUAGAACUCGGAGAGACUGGACCUCUUUCUCCUUGUAAAUCAAGCUGAACAGGGAAAGAGGAGCUGGCAGGAGAGUUUGUCCUGCUGGUGUCAGCCCCCACAGAAGUCCCCAAGCUUCCUGGACGCCUCCAUGUGUGCUGUUGCCUGCUUGGACCCCAUCCUCAACAGCAGCUCUAAGGGCUUGUCUGGAGGCCCUGGAUGGAAGGUGCUUCCCAGCCUGAGCACCUGCAGAAGUGGCAGCUGUAUUCUUUAGGUACAUGAACAGCCUAGUUUUCAAGCCUGUGUACAAAGGUGUCUUCUUCCUCUGGGCAAACCACUCCCAGGGGCAAGAGCCACAAGGGUCAACUUAGCAAUCUUUGUCAGUGGCAAGGAGGUGACACUAAUCUCAACCACAGUCUUCUUAGCCAACUUAAGCUUAUUUUCUUCCCUUGUCUUUUCUUAGAACUGCAUCACUUCUUGCACAGGUUCUUUUUUAUCAUUUAUAAAAUGAUGAAGGCCUGGAAACGAGCCAAGAGUGACUACUUGUUCCUGAGCUAAUCUCUGUUUCCCCAGGGAUACUGCUGGAAGUUGGACAGUGAGUGGUCAGAAUUCAGAAGUUCCAGGUCAGAGGUUGGC
ensembl:lncRNA